rnacentral:pre_miRNA from 1 species
UUUAAUUUUUGACUCUUCGUUUUAUUAAAAAAAAUUGUGAUUGAUAUUUUUUAUUAGAUGAUAAAUCAUGAAUAAUACUUUACGUGUGACUAAUUUUUUUUAAUUUUCUAAAAAAAUUUAAAUAAAAUGAAUGAUCAAACGUUGGAUACGGAAACCGAAG